rnacentral:rRNA from 1 species
GACGUGACUUCAGAGUUUGAUCCUGGCUCAGGAUAAACGCUGGCGGCGCACAUAAGACAUGCAAGUCGAACGGAAGUCGUUUUAGUGAAUCUGAUAUGAAAGAUUUAUCCGGAAUUGAAGAUGAUCUAAACAAUGGCUUUAGUGGCGGACUGGUGAGUAACACGUAAGCAACCUGCCUGUUAGAGGGGAAUAACAGCGAGAAAUCGUUGCUAAUACCGCAUAUGCCAUAAAACCACAUGGUUUUAGUGGGAAAGGAGUAAUCCGCUAACAGAUGGGCUUGCGUCUGAUUAGAUAGUUGGUGGGGUAACGGCCUACCAAGUCGACGAUCAGUAGCCGGACUGAGAGGUUCAACGGCCACAUUGGGACUGAGAUACGGCCCAG